AUCAACGCUGGCGGCGCGCUUAACACAUGCAAGUCGAACGAGAAAGUGGGAGCAAUCUCAUGAGUACAGUGGCGCACGGGUGAGUAACACGUGGACAACCUGCCUCGGAGUGGGGAAUAACCCUGGGAAACCGGGGCUAAUACCGCAUACGUUCCCGCCGGCGUCGGCUGGCGGGAGGAAAGGCGCAAGCCGCUCUUGGAGGGGUCCGCGGCCGAUUACGCUUGUUGGCGGGGUAACGGCCCACCAAGGCUUUGAUCGGUAGCCGGCCUGAGAGGGCACACGGCCACACUGGCACUGAAACACGGGCCAGACUCCUACGGGAGGCAGCAGUGGGGAAUCUUGCACAAUGGGGGCAACCCUGAUGCAGCGACGCCGCGUGAGCGAUGAAGCCCUUCGGGGUGUAAAGCUCUUUUGGCGGGGAAAAUCAUGAUGGUACCCGCUGAAUAAGCUGCGGCUAACUACGUGCCAGC
rnacentral:rRNA from 1 species